rnacentral:misc_RNA from 1 species
GAUGAAGAACGUAGUGAAAUGCGAUACGUAAUGUGAAUUGCAGAAUUCAGUGAAUCAUCGAGUCUUUGAACGCACAUUGCGCCCCCUGGUAUUCCGGGGGGCAUGCCUGUCCGAGCGUCAUUGCUGCCCUCAAGCACGGCUUGUGUGUUGGGCCCCCGUCCCCGGUUUCCCCCGGGGACGGGCCCGAAAGGCAGCGGCGGCACCGCGUCCGGUCCUCGAGCGUAUGGGGCUUUGUCACCCGCUCUGUAGGCCCGGCCGGCGCCAGCCGACACCCAACUUUAUUUCUAAGGUUGACCUCGGAUCAGGUAGGGAUACCCGCUGAACUUAAGCAUAUCAAUAAGCGGAGGA